rnacentral:rRNA from 1 species
GACGAACGCUGGCGGCGUGCUUAACACAUGCAAGUCGAACGGAAAGGCCCUGCUUUUGUGGGGUGCUCGAGUGGCGAACGGGUGAGUAACACGUGAGUAACCUGCCCUUGACUUUGGGAUAACUUCAGGAAACUGGGGCUAAUACCGGAUAGGAGCUCCUGCUGCAUGGUGGGGGUUGGAAAGUUUCGGCGGUUGGGGAUGGACUCGCGGCUUAUCAGCUUGUUGGUGGGGUAGUGGCUUACCAAGGCUUUGACGGGUAGCCGGCCUGAGAGGGUGACCGGCCACAUUGGGACUGCGAUACGGCCCAGACUCCUACGGGGGGCAGCAGUGGGGAAUCUUGCACAAUGGGCGGAAGCCUGAUGCAGCAACGCCGCGUGCGGGAUGACGGCCUUCGGGUUGUAAACCGCUUUCGCCUGUGACGAAGCGUGAGUGACGGUAAUGGGUAAAGAAGCACCGGCUAACUACGUG